UUGGUCAAUGGAGGCAACUCUGAACCAGCCAUGCCGCGUGCAGGAAAACUGCCCUAUGGGUUGUAAACUGCUUUUAUACAGGAAGAAACAGAACUACGUGUAGUUCCUUGACGGUACUGUAAGAAUAAGCACCGGCUUCCGUGCCAGCAGCCGCGGUAAUACGGAGGGUGCAAGCGUUAUCCGGAAUCAUUGGGUUUAAAGGGUCCGCAGGCGGUCAAUUACCCAGAGGUGAAAUCCCAUAGCUUAACUAUGGAAC
rnacentral:rRNA from 1 species